UCUGGUGGCGAUGCGCUUAGGGGAGACACCCGUUCUCAUCCCGAACACGAAGGUUAAGACUUAAGCGGCCGAUGGUACUAUGCUGGAGACGGCAUGGGAGAGCAGGUGGCUGCCAGAU
rnacentral:rRNA from 1 species